rnacentral:rRNA from 1 species
ACGCUCGACACCUACGGGAGCAGCAGUGGGGAAUAUUGCACAAUGGGGGAAACCCUGAUGCAGCGACGCCGCGUGAGCGAAGAAGUAUUUCGGUAUGUAAAGCUCUAUCAGCAGGAAAGAAGAAAGACGGUACCUGACUAAGAAGCCCCGGCUAACUACGUGCCAGCAGCCGCGGUAAUCUGAGCGGGCUGGCAAGGC